rnacentral:tRNA from 1 species
AAGAAAGUGACAGAAGGGCUAUGUGCCUGGCUUGAAAUCAGGUUAUGAGGGUUCAAUUCCUUCCUUUCUCG